UACGGAGGGGGCUAGCGUUGUUCGGAAUUACUGGGCGUAAAGCGCACGUAGGCGGCUUUGUAAGUUAGAGGUGAAAGCCCGGGGCUCAACUCCGGAAUUGCCUUUAAGACUGCAUCGCUAGAAUUGUGGAGAGGUAAGUGGAAUUCCGAGUGUAGAGGUGAAAUUCGUAGAUAUUCGGAAGAACACCAGUGGCGAAGGCGGCCCACUGGCUCGAUACUGACGCUGAGGUGCGAAAGCGUGGGGAGCAAACAGG
rnacentral:rRNA from 1 species